UACAGAGGUGGCAAGCGUUGUUCGGAAUUACUGGGCGUAAAGGGCGCGUAGGCGGCCUCGCAAGUCCCGUGUGAAAUCCCUCGGCUCAACUGAGGAAUGGCACGGGAAACUGCGGGGCUUGAGUUCGGGAGAGGGAAGCGGAAUUCCGGGUGUAGCGGUGAAAUGCGUAGAUAUCCGGAGGAACACCGGUGGCGAAGGCGGUUCUCUGGGCAUGAUCUGACGCUGAGGAGCGAAAGUGUGGGGAGCGAACAGG
rnacentral:rRNA from 1 species